CGUGCUCAUCCAUCUGACCUCGGAGACCAACCUGCUGCCAGAGCCUGGAAGCCAUCCUGGCAUGUGCCCCAACCAGCUCAGCCCCCACCUGUGGGUCGACGCCCAGAGCACCUGUGAGCGUGAGUGUACCAGGGACCAGGUGAGCACUGGCAUCUCGUGGGAUCCUGGGCCCCACCCUAGCUCUUUCCUCAUUGUGGGGAGUAGACUCCAACCCUAGGAGUCUGGGUUCCUCCACAUUCAGUUUACCUGGAUUUGUGGCCAUGACCUGUACAUGGGGCUCAAAGGAUACCCCCACCUUUUUGUCUUCUGAAGAGCAAGAACAUCUCCAAUUUCUGGACUGACUGACUUCAUCCUCACCAAUCCUGUCUCUCACCUGCCUGAGCACCACUUUUUUUUCUUAAAAAAAAAAAAAAAAAA
rnacentral:lncRNA from 1 species